GGCAGCAGUAGGGAAUAUUAGUAAUGGGCGAAAGCCUGAACUAGCAACGCCGCGUGUGCGAAGAAGGCCUUCGGGUUGUAAAGCACUUUUUGAGAGGAUGAGGAAGGACGGUACUCUCAGAAUAAGUCUCGGCUAACUACGUGCCAGCAGCCGCGGUAACACGUAGGAGGCGAACGUUAUCCGGAUUUACUGGGCGUAAAGCGCGUGUAGGUGGUUUGGUAAGUAGGGCGUGAAAGCUCCUGGCUCAACUGGGAGAGGCCGUUCUAAACUGCCGAACUAGAGGAUGGUAGAGGGAGGUGGAAUUCCGGGUGUAGCGGUGGAAUGCGCAGAUAUCCGGAGGAACACCAGUGGCGAAAGCGGCCUCCUGGACCAUUCCUGACACUCAGACGCGAAAGCUAGGGUAGCAAACGGGAUUAGAGACCCCGGUAGUCCUAGCCCUAAACGAUGUAGACUAGG
rnacentral:rRNA from 1 species